rnacentral:lncRNA from 1 species
GCGCAGUAGCUUGGCUUGGUUUUUUUUGUCAAACGCGUCCACAGAUCAAAACGUUUUUCCCACUUAUUUACUGGACCGCGGGUUGAAUUGUGAAAAACAGAGAGGCUUUUGUGUAAAAGUGCCGACGACGGACGACAAAAACCAUCGGUGCUUUAUUAUUAUGAGAGAUUGUCAGGAUUGUUCCCAUAACAGUAUUACCGGUUAAUAUAAUUUCAUUUUAAUUUUAACUCAAGGACAUAUCGGUAAUAUCCUGUAGUCCUUUCACCAUGCCAAGCACUGGAACGACUUCGCCGCUUUUCCGACGUUCACAUAUACAAGAGUAUCGGAACGACAGAAAGAUGACAUGUCGCCUCGAGGAGCCCCGCACAGCGAGGGCAUCCCUGUGUAUCAGCCCUGUUUGCACAACCCCAUACGCCCAAUACUUUUCGGCAUACUUGUACGACUUGAUUUGCCGAUGCUUUUGAUUGAGAGACCCACACGAAGUCACAUACAUACAAGCUGAUCCCUCAAGCAAUCAGGUAGAAGUGGAUUGAUCGUGAGACACACACGGACGAACAAACUGAUCCCAAGCUACCAGGCAGCUGGAUUCAUCAUUGAUCGCGUACGAAGCUAGCUGCUCAAUUGAUCCGCUACAUAAUAGCCAAUGAAUAUCUUGCCGGGAAACGGCGUACAGGGGUAGCAGUGCCGAUUUCCAUGUCUCCGCCCGAAGGAAAAUAGUCCAAUUUUACCCUUGUCCGAGGAAAUUACUACUCAUAUUACUUCAGCUGAACCCUUGAUGCACAAUAAUAAACGUCUUAUAUUAUCUUGAUGUAUCGUAAAAGGACUCUGCUGAUAAUAUAAGGAUCAUGAAAGAUAUAUAUGAUGAGAUGUAUGCUUGCAUGUGAAGCCAUUUCUUUGGGAUUUGUAACACAAAUUUAUCAAACUGGUUCUAGGUGUUGAUUGUCUCUGGAAGGUGCUAUCACUCAUUCACUAUUUUUGUAUUUCUACCUUUCUGUUCCGUAAAUAGAAAAAUAUAAUGUUGGAGGCCUGGGAAACUCGUAUGGGCACGCAUCUGCCAAGCCCUGCCCGGCCUCCUGAUUGUCUCGCGAUCCGUAAAGUCGUUGUAUCCUACAUGAUGAGACGACAAGUUUAAAUUUUAAUUUUGAAACUUAUGACAGUACCGAUUGUAGCUUUUGAAACUAAUCAUUUCGUCGGUCAUUCACUCCAAGUUUAAGAGUUGAUAGUUAAAACUUAUGUUUAUUGGUCGCUCGUAUUAAGUUUCAAAAGUUCAACUUCUCAUUCAAAGAUAUGAAAGAUUAAAAUUCGGAAGCCAAAAGAAAAGGCACACGUGAGGGGCUGGGUGUCUCAACACCAACGUGCCACAAAUCCUCUCCCUUUAAGGCCUUGCUAGUUUAGGGCUUUACGCUGACAGUGAGAAUCAUAAUAGGCUUCGAAAGUGAAUAACUAGAUAUUAUAUGAACCUUGUUGUUCUAUUACGUUCUUGUAUGACCC